rnacentral:rRNA from 1 species
UACGUAGGGACCAAGCGUUGUUCGGAUUUACUGGGCGUAAAGGGCGCGUAGGCGGCAUGACAAGUCACUUGUGAAAUCUCCGGGCUUAACUCGGAACGGCCAAGUGAAACUGUCAAGCUAGAGUGCAGAAGGGGCAAUCGGAAUUCUUGGUGUAGCGGUGAAAUGCGUAGAUAUCGGAAGGAACACCAGUGGCGAAAGCGGCUUCCUGGUCCAGCACCGACGUUCAGGCACGAAAGCGUGGGGAGCAAACAGG